UUUCAAAAUGGUCACAGCUGGCAUCAGAUGAAUCAGCAACUGCAUCUUGUGUCCCUGAAGUUAGGAGCCCAUGACCUUCUUUUGGAAAUGCAGAAUGCCACAAGAGAGUGCAGGGGGAAAAGAGUGCCUGGUGCCGAGUGUCAUCUAUAUGGGUCAGAGAGUACUUAGCUUUGUGAAGGACAAGUCCAGCUGCAAGUGUUUGUUAGUAACAGCUAAAGAAUAACCAAGAUUGCAUAACUCUUGUAGGCCUUUUUGGCUGUUACAUGCCAAAGGCUGUUCACUCAUUUGUGUUUUUGCUACAACAAAUUCCUCCAUGUUAGUGACUCCCUCCAUAUAAUGGAGGAAAGGAAACAGGCAUUGUUCUUGUCUGGCUGAAAACCAAAUUUUCAGUUUUGCUCCUCUUGAGAAACAUCAGCUGCGUGCUCCAGGCAAAUUCCUAAGGCUCUAUGUUAAGAUGUACUGGAAGGAGCCUCAGAAAAAAAUGAAAACAGUUGAUAUCAGGAUGUUGGAAUUACAGCUGACCUUUGAACAACAUGGGUUUGAACUGCAUGGAUUGACUGUACAUGGAAUUUUUUCAAUAGCGAGCGGGAGGUCUUCCACGAGAAAGCAGGCGAGGCAGGCUGGGCCGCCAGGCUGGGCUCAUGAACGGACCAGGAGGAAUGUCACCCGGCUGCCCCAAGGCCACGAGGGUCCUGAGGCGUAACUGGUGCGAGAGUGAAAAAGAAAAAAGGCCAAGACCAGGAGAGGACAAAGCCGAUGCGCUCAUUAGGAGAGAGAGGGACGCUCGCUGCCACUGUGGAUGUGUAACUCCCAGACAGCAAAGACCAAAAGCUGUCUUGGGCUGAGGCAGCCUUGGGAACGAGAAACAGUGUUGCUGGGGGUCAGAUGGGGGACACACAGCCUAAAAUUAAGCGGAGUCAACUGCCACACAUCCCCUCACUGAAUCCAGAAAGUCGAACCCUUAUUGUAACUGAACACUAAAAAUCGUUAAACCUCUUUCGGUUGAUCGAUUUGUCCCCUGAAGCCAAUUUAUACUAUGGUAAUUCCAUCGCCGGCCCUGAAUGGGGCUCUGAGCAAUUACCACCUGACCUGCUGACCUCCGCUAACAAGGUAUUCACGGCUCCAGAUAUUUCCAGCCAGUUUAGCCCAACUGUUCUUCUUUCUCCAGGCGUAACUGUCAGCCAGGCUAUGGGAGGAAAACACCCUACUCCCUUGAUAUUAAGAAAUACAAAAGGGAGGACUUCCCUGGUGGUCCAGUGGUUAAGACUUUGCCUUCCAAUGCACUGGGUGCAGGUUCGAUCCCUGGUUGGGAAGCUCAGAUCCCACAUGCC
ensembl:lncRNA